GAUGGAUUAAGAGCUUGCUCUUAUGAAAGUUAGCGGCGGACGGGUGAGUAACACGUGGGUAACCUGCCCAUAAGACUGGGAUAACUCCGGGAAACCGGGGCUAAUACCGGAUAACAUUUUGCACCGCAUGGUGCGAAAUUCAAAGGCGGCUUCGGCUGUCACUUAUGGAUGGACCCGCGUCGCAUUAGCUAGUUGGUGAGGUAACGGCUCACCAAGGCAACGAUGCGUAGCCGACCUGAGAGGGUGAUCGGCCACACUGGGACUGAGACACGGCCCAGACUCCUACGGGAGGCAGCAGUAGGGAAUCUUCCGCAAUGGACGAAAGUCUGACGGAGCAACGCCGCGUGAGUGAUGAAGGCUUUCGGGUCGUAAAACUCUGUUGUUAGGGAAGAACAAGUGCUAGUUGAAUAAGCUGGCACCUUGACGGUACCUAACCAGAAAGCCACGGCUAACUACGUGCCAGCAGCCGCGGUAAUACGUAGGUGGCAAGCGUUAUCCGGAAUUAUUGGGCGUAAAGCGCGCGCAGGUGGUUUCUUAAGUCUGAUGUGAAAGCCCACGGCUCAACCGUGGAGGGUCAUUGGAAACUGGGAGACUUGAGUGCAGAAGAGGAAAGUGGAAUUCCAUGUGUAGCGGUGAAAUGCUUAGAGAUAUGGAGGAACACCAGUGGCGAAAGGNGACUUUCUGGUCUGUAACUGACACUGAGCGCNAAAGCGUGGGGAGCAAACAGGGAUUAAAUACCCUGGUAGUCCACGCCNUAAACAAUGAANGCUAA
rnacentral:rRNA from 1 species